rnacentral:rRNA from 1 species
AAAUUGUGAAUUUGGAUAUKAAAUUAGUAUUAGUUAUGUUCUUGAAAAUUAAAAAUUUUGGCGGUAUUUUAGUCUUUUUAGAGGAACCUGUCCUAUAAUUGAUAAUCCACGAUAAAAAUUACUUUUUUAAAAAUGCUUGUAUAUCGUUGUAGAUAAGAAUAUUUUAUAAGAAAAAUUAAUAUUCGAAAAUUUAAAGUUAAAUUUAAAUCAAAUCAAGAUGCAGCUUAUAAAAAAGAAGAGAUGGGUUACAAUAAAGUAAAUUUAAAUGGAUUAAUUAAUGAAAUUUAAUUAUAAAAGUGGAUUUAAAAGUAAUUUUUUUUGAUUUUAGAAAAAUGAUUUUGGCUCUAAAAUAUGC